CAUUUUAGGUUAUUGGGUCACAGAUUGCUGGCACACUCAUCCCUGUUCUCAAACAUCUUUUAAAGUUUGGUGAAGUGACAAGUAGUGGAAGAAGAGUUACUGAUAAGAGUCCUUGAGAGGCCCCUGUCAGCACUGUCAGUAUCAUCAUCAUCAUGGAACUGAUUACUCUGGAAGAGUCUAGGAAAAUAGAGAUGGAUGGGGAUACGUGUAGACCCUCCAGAAGGCAGGCA